GUUGGUGUUGCGCGGCACGUAGUUGAUGAAUGCGUAUCCGCGCGCCUGAUCGAUGGUGUGGAACAACGGGUUCCAGUCGAAAAAGGCAAUCAUGGACCCCGGCAGCGAAUUGGCGACAAACAUCUUGCCCGACGCGAUCAUGUUUGCACGGCG
rnacentral:ncRNA from 1 species